ACACAAUAGGCUAGUGAGGAAGAAGUGACAUUUUGCUCUCAAGUAGACAUCAAGAAUACAACAACAGUCCAAAUUAUGCACAAGCUUGCAGUAGUUACUGGUAAAAAGAGGCAGGACUAAUAAAUAGCAAAUAACUUUUCCAACGAAAAGAUUAUUUGCUUGCUACACACUGAAAUUACAUAAACAAAACCCAAAUGUAACACAUAUAACCUUCCUCUUUUUUACCUUCUCGAACAAAUAAAUCACG
rnacentral:misc_RNA from 1 species